UUACUGGUAGGUUAUUUAAACUGGCAAAUUGUGGUUUUGUUGAUUACAUUCUGUUUCUUCGUAUCAGUA
rnacentral:tRNA from 2 species